UAGGCGGGUUCCGAAAAGCCGAAAAGAGAGUAGGAG
ncrna:unclassified sequences DTF805b RNA